rnacentral:tRNA from 1 species
GGCACUGUAGCUUAGUGGUUAAAGCGCCUGUCUCGUAAACAGGAGAAUCCCAAGCUCAAACCUGGGCAAUGCCU